GGGAUCAUUAAAAUACCGAAAGACCUCUCUCGGGGGGGCCUGGGCAAGUGAUUUCUGCGGAAAUCAUAACGUUCCCAGGGGGUCCCGGGGGAGUGAUUUUCAAACCCUUGUGAACCACAACUCUGUUGCUUCGGGGGCGACCCCGCCGUCUCGGCGGUGGUGCUCCCGGUGGCCAUCUAUCAAACUCUGCAUCACCUUGCGUCGGAGUCUUAUAAAGAAUUAAACAAAACUUUCAACAACGGAUCUCUUGGUUCUGGCAUCGAUGAAGAACGCAGCGAAAUGCGAUAAGUAAUGUGAAUUGCAGAAUUCAGUGAAUCAUCGAAUCUUUGAACGCACAUUGCGCCCCGUGGUAUUCCGCGGGGCAUGCCUGUUCGAGCGUCAUUUCACCACUCAAGCCUGGCUUGGUAUUGGGCGUCGCGGCCUCCGCGCGCCUCAAAGUCUCCGGCUGAGCAGUCCGUCUCCGAGCGUUGUGACAUUUUCGCUAGGGAGUUCGCGUCUGCCGCGGCCGUUAAAUCAUUAACACCAAAGGUUGACCUCG
rnacentral:rRNA from 1 species